UUGGCUCUAUUGGUGGUGUACGAAAUGUCGUGUUGAUAGACACCGGAAGCACCCACAAUUUUGUGGAUCCCUCAAUUGUAACAAAGGCACAAUUACCUCUAUGCCAUACACCAGGAUUGACAGUCAACGUAGCAAAUGGCGAAGCUGUCCGCAGCGAAGGACUUACGCAAUCAGAAGCUUUUCUGAUGCAAGGAUUUUUCAAAGUUAUCUAUGACCUUUACUUACAAGGGCAGCAAGGUGGCGCUUCAAGGCCUCACUCCUUCUGCAUUCUCACUGAUGGAAGGUGACGACUACGGGAAGAUGAUUAAGAUGGACAAUAGAGGUUAUGGCAUUGGAGCAGUUCUCUUACAGCAAGGCAAACCAAUUGCUUUAAUGAGUCAAGC